rnacentral:piRNA from 1 species
UAUGUGUAACACAGGCUUGUAGGAGCACA